rnacentral:rRNA from 1 species
UGAUAUAACGGUCAUAGCGGAGGAGCCACAUCCGAUCCCGUCCCGAUCUCGGAAAUUAAGCCCUCCAGCGAUACCCUAAGUACUGCCAUUUGGUGGGAACAGGGUGACGCUGUUGAUCAC